rnacentral:lncRNA from 1 species
UCUUGGAGUUCUAGCUCACCUUUCUGGUGUUGCUCUUGUACUCAUCUGUUUAAUCUAGUUUUGCCACUUCUUCUUGAACUUCUUGUUAGAUUUCAAGUUUGUAUUUUGAGUCCGUGACAGUUUGUCGAGACUACACUAACUUGAGAUAUCAGAGCUAGUUCUUUCUUAAUAGAGUGUGGAUUACCCCUCUACUUGAAGGCAUACUAGCAUUUUUUAGAGGUUGCGGAUUACCCUCCUCUAAACUGAUACUUCUUCUGUUACAAUAUUGGAGUCUUAUUCUUCUUGGAGAGAGUGAAUUACCCC